rnacentral:sRNA from 1 species
AAACGCCAAAUUCAGUUCUGUUAUACAACAAAACUGAAACGGGGGAACCAAUAUAGUGGGGUGAAAUCGCGACUAUACGCGAUCGGGCGCCUUUCGACCGAACCCGUCAGCUAACCUCGUCGGCGAUAAGAGAGGG